GGAGGGUGCGAGCGUUAAUCGGAAUUACUGGGCGUAAAGCGCGCGUAGGCGGUCUGAUCAGUCGGAUGUGAAAGCCCUGGGCUUAACCUGGGAAUUGCAUUCGAUACUGUCAGGCUAGAGUAUGGGAGAGGGAAGUGGAAUUUCCGGUGUAGCGGUGAAAUGCGUAGAUAUCGGAAGGAACACCAGUGGCGAAGGCGACUUCCUGGCCCAAUACUGACGCUGAGGUGCGAAAGCGUGGGUAGCGAACAGGAUUAGAUACCCUGGUAGUCCACGCCGUAAACGAUGAGAACUAGAUGUCGGGAGGAUUUACCUCUCGGUGUCGCAGCUAACGCGUUAAGUUCUCCGCCUGGGGAGUACGCCGGCAACGGUA
rnacentral:rRNA from 1 species